UUGAGCAAGCACCGAGUGAAAUGGAUUUGUGAGCAAGUACCGAGUAAAAUGGAUUUAUGAGUGGUUUUUAAUCUCCAUUUUGAUUGAAUACUAACAGAAAUUUUCUUCUUUGCAGGUGAACUUAUUGGUGCAAAAUAUUCAAGCUGAUGGGAGACAUGCACUUGACAACUGGUAUGUCUUUCUUUUAUUUCUAGGAAAAGCAAGUGGUACAUGCACUUGACUUUGGCUUGCUACUUUAGAGGUAUCCUAGCUGGUGUAUUAACUAAGCAAUUGACAGUUGAUCAGCUAAACAUAUGUACCUUCUAUUGACGUUAAAAGUAGACAGUUUAAUGAAAAUUAUAGCUUUUUCUAUUGAUCAAGUUAUUAUCCACCAUGUUCCCUCAUUUCUGCGAGCUAUUAAGACCCACCUGGGGAGAAAGAGGAACGGCAAGAAGACUCGCAGACCAUCCGCCAAAAGCAUUGCCUUCAACCAGGUUCAUGGUUAAGAUGUCGCAGGUAUUGGGGUGAUGGUGUUCAUAACUAUUAUUUUGCAGUGGUUCCACGCUACUCUUGUAGUGUAGAAGUUGAUGCCUUGGUUUCUUUUCUCUCAUUCUUUUGGAAGACGAUGUGAUUGCAUGUCAGUGCUUUUCACUGACCAUGCCACUCAUUCCUGAUUGCAUUUGGACACUGCCUUCAUGAGAAUGGUGAGAAGAAAUACCAUGAUUAAGAAGUAAUUUAAUAUGCAUACACCAUAUAUUACCAUGAAUCAAAUGACAGGUUCCGAAUACAUGCAAAGACGUACUAGAGGCAUUACAUCAUUGAGCUUCUAUAAGCCAUUCUAUCACUGAGCUUCUACAAGCCAUUUUUCUUGCUAGAUUCACAGAGCAGCUACUUUUUUAUUUCUUUAUUUGGUGUUGUUGUCGCCAAAACCAAGUGUCAAACUGUUUUUAUUAACGUAUUGCUCAGUCCUUUGGCGACAUGAUCUGUGCCCUUGUUUACUGCACUUCUGGUAUCUGGUAACUCUCACGCUAGUUCAUUUGAUGUUUUCCCGUCUUUUCUUAUGACAGAAAUUAGAUGUGUGCAAAUUUGUACACCGAUGAUAUAGGUGUACAUUGUUGUACACAUGUGACAGAAAUUGCAUGUGUGCAUAAUAGUCCACACUAGCACUCUUAAUCAAAUUUUACUGAAUAAUCUUUUUUCAUUUCUUAGAUGUCGAAUCAGUGAUGCUAUGAGCCACUGACUGUUAUGACAGAAACCACAUGUGUACAUAUUAGUACACUUACGAUAUAAGUGUACAUUGUUGUACAAUGUGAUAGAAAUUACGUGUGUACAUAAUAGCGCACUUGUAACACAAGUGUACAUUGUUGUACACAUGUGACAAAAAUCACAAGAUGGUGGACAUAUAUCGCAUAAGCUUAUGUAUGUGUUAGUUUCUAGUUAGUAUUAGGGUUUUAUGGAGGUAAAUACAUGUGUGUACUUUAGAAGUUUGUUAAAUGUGAAAUAUUUUGAACAAGAUAGAUGCAUCUGUGAGGUGUUUCAGACAAGAUUAGUUAUUAAAGUUUUGUUGUUCUCUUCCACUAGUUACUGGAAAUUACUGCUAUUGAUUCCUCCAAGAUAUGUGAAUAACACAGGUCUUUCUGCAAAAGUUGGAAGGCUUAAUCUGGACGCGGUCGAUCUUGAUCAGUCAUCUGAAUGAGGCUUUCAUCGUGCAACGGCUCUUGCUGGUAGUGAAGUUUUAGAGAUAUGCUUCCUACAACUGAUGAUUUAUGUAUGCAUAAGGAUGAGCCUGAUUGGGAUAUACCAACGGGUGAAGUCGCUUCCGCCGGUGAUGCAAUUGAAGAUAUUCGUUAAGGAAAGAUGGUCAUUAUUGUUGAUGGCGACGAUAGAGAAAAUGAAGGAGAUCUAAUAAUGGCAGCAGAAUUGGAUUUUGUAGAUUUUUGUAAAUGUGUACAUGUUUGUAUACCAGUAUAAAUUAAGAUUUUAAAAAGUGAGAAUUAUAUAGUCAUAUGGGUACUCUUAUUGUAGCUCUCGGAAAGAGCUUUUCGAAUAUAUAAAAUUUGCGAAUUUUGGA